CCUUUCCAACUUCUCACUCUCAUUCUGCCUCAUUUUCAGAAACUGAUCCCUUCCCCCUCACAAUGUUGAAGCAGAGAACUCUGCUAGGGCAUAAGCUCAUUUUCCCUCCGAGCUAGCUGAGCUCAUUUUCCUCCAAUUCGUCAUUGGAGCUGUGGUGCUCUUCUUUGGGUGUCAGUGUUGAUUGGCUAGCAUUUGUCCAGUGUGAGCAGAUGUGAAAAUCCCUAGUGGUCAUCUGGAUGAUGAGAACGCUGCAGUUUAGUAUGCAUGAGUUGGAUCCUGCUCUAUGGAGCAUCUUUUGGGGCAUUGUCGCCUGUGUAAUUUCUUACUCUAUGAGCAGUCUUUUGUAAAUAGUUGCACUCUUAUGUUUUGUUUAUUGACAUCAUGGUAUGCCUUAGUUCCUUUCCGAGUAUGUUUAUAAAUGACUGUAUCAGGGAA